UACGGGGGGGGCAAGCGUUGUUCGGAAUUACUGGGCGUAAAGGGUUUGUAGGUGGCUUGUUAAGUCAGACGUGAAAUCCCUCAGCUUAACUGGGGAACUGCGUCUGAUACUGGAUGGCUUGAGUUUGGGAGAGGGAUGCGGAAUUCCAGGUGUAGUGGUGAAAUGCGUAGAUAUCUGGAGGAACACCGGUGGCGAAGGCGGCAUCCUGGACCGACACUGACGCUGAGGCGCGAAAGCUAGGGGAGCAAACGGG
rnacentral:rRNA from 1 species